rnacentral:lncRNA from 1 species
AUGGAUGUCACUCUUCACGGCUUCUUCUUGACCUUCAGUUUUCUCCUCGGCUUUGCUUGCCUCUAGAUUAGCAUCAUCAGCUUCCUUUCGAUCCUUCUCUUCCUUCUCUCUCUUUAACCGUUCUUUCUCCUCAGCCUUUUCUAUUUGUUCUUUUUUAUCUAGAUCAACAGAAGUGAACUUAUAAGAAAUGACUAAAAGCAAAUCAAUUGCUUGUAAGGUAUGACCUCGCUA